rnacentral:rRNA from 1 species
CACUAUGCUUAGCCUUAAACAUUGAUCGUUUACCACAUCAAACAUCCGCCUGGGAAUUACGAACACUAGUUUAAAACCCAAAGGACUUGGCGGUGCUUAAUAUCCCCCUAGAGGAGCCUGUUCUAGAACCGAUAACCCCCGUUAAACCUCACCCUCCCUAGUUUUUACCGCCUAUAUACCACCGUCGCCAGCUUACCCUGUGAAGGCUUAAUAGUAAGCACAAUUGGCAUAGCCCAAAACGUCAGGUCGAGGUGUAGUGCAUGAGAGGGGAAGAAAUGGGCUACAUUCGCUGUCUGUCAGCGAACACGAAUGAUGCAUUGAAACAUGCAACUGAAGGAGGAUUUAGCAGUAAGCAGAAAACAGAGUGUUCUGCUGAAACCGGCUCUUAAGCGCGCACACACCGCCCGUCACCCUCUCCAAGCACCUGGACCCAAAAUUUCCUAAACCUACACAAACGCGAAGGAGAGGAAAGUCGUAA